rnacentral:rRNA from 1 species
CACGUAGGGGGCAAGCGUUGUCCGGAUUUAUUGGGCGUAAAGAGCUCGUAGGCGGCUCGGUAAGUCAGGUGUGAAACCUCCAGGCUCAACCUGGAGACGCCACCUGAUACUGCUGUGGCUAGAGUCCGGUAGGGGAGCGUGGAAUUCCUGGUGUAGCGGUGAAAUGCGCAGAUAUCAGGAGGAACACCAGCGGCGAAGGCGGCGCUCUGGGCCGGAACUGACGCUGAGGAGCGAAAGCGUGGGUAGCAAACAGG